UCUGUUUCUCUGCGGAACCUAGCCUGACAAAGGUCCUGUCUCCCUGCCUUCUGACUGCAUGUGUCUUAACGAGGCAUCUAAGAUCACCAAGUCCAAUCUGCAUAAUAGUAUCCAUUAAUGGGACCAACAUGAUUUCUGUGAGAUGGCGAGACAGUCAUGCAGAGCCUGGGGACUGACCUACUGCUGAAGGAAGGUGGUGAUGGUGAGCUGCCAUCCCUGCCCGUGAACUCAAACCACUCUGGUAGGAGAGGAAGAGCCCUGAGUAUUCUUCUGCUAACCGUGUCACAUUGGGUAAGUUGCUUCCCUUCUCUGGGUCUCAGUUUUCUCCUCUGUAAAACGAGAGGGCUGGGAUAGAUGACCUUCAAAGACCCUGCCACUCCUUCUCAUCCUGAGCUGGUACAAAUAACCAGAGCUUUCUGUCUUACCUGCUGCAGGAUACUGACAAUCUGUCAGUUUCUCUCACCCUCUGUUUUCUUCCUGGAGCGAAAUCGCCCAUGACCUACCUCUUAGUGUGACUAUGCAGCUAACGUGCAGUAAACACCGAGAUUAAGGGCACUGGCUUUAGCAGGUGGCCAAACUUGACUUUGAGUCUGAGAUCUACCACCACUUGGCUCUGAGGACUCCUUGAGCAAUCACCUCACUUCACCUCUCUCAGCCUGUGACCUCACCUGCUGAACAAAGACUAACGUGCCGACCUUGAAGGACUGAAGGUGGUUGCAUGAGGAUAUGAUGUCUGAAACUCUGGCAGCCAUGUUGAGACCAUGGGGAGCCAUGCCUGAGCCCUAAAGCCAACACAUGGAAGACGCUGGCGCUGAAGUACCGGUCCCGGAUGACAUCACUGAGCCUCUGAACUAACCACUCCUGGAAAGACCCAGCCUGCAGAGUGCUUGACCACAGAGGUCUCUACUGUGGAAGUCAGGAGCAUCAGGGUAUUCUACUAUUUGCAGUCAAACCUCCUGACUGACACUCAGGAGUGAAUGCUGGAAACAGCCGGCCCGUCGCACGGGCUGUUGUGCUUAUUUUAGGGGAAAGGGUGGGGAAGGUGCAGCAGUUUGAACACAAAAUGAGCAACUACUUAUGUGCCAGGACCCUGACAUAUGUAGGGUCUAUGUGGGGAUAAACUGCCCGGAUUCAAAUCUUGGCUCCAUCACCUCAGCAGCCCGUGACCUUGGGUAAGUCACUGAACCUCUCUGUGCCACAGUUACUCCAUUCCUAACAUUGGGGUGCUUCUAAAUAUUCCACCUACUCGGUAGAGGAUUAAAUGUCCAGUUCAUGUAACCAGUCUAGCACAUUGUCAGUAAACGUGAGCUUAAAAAUCCUGACCAGACCCUGAGGGGUAUGAGGAAUAUUAACCCCAUUUAAGAGAUGGGGAAUCUGAAGUUCAAGGAAGUGAAGUCUAAGAGCAUACAAAUAAGGAGAGACAGAACCUGGAUUUGAACCCAGGUUGAGUUGAGCACCUACAAUGUGCCAGGCAUUGUGGCAGGUGUUUAGUUACAUUAGCCCAUCGGAUUUGCACAGCAGCCCUGCAUAGGAGGUGGUGCUGUUAUUAUUUAUUCCUACUAUUUAUUCCCAUAUCACAGAGGUAAUGAAAGUUGCCUACAAGUAGGGUCAGGAUGUCAGCAUAUGAACCUAGGCCUGGGUCCAAGCCCUUAUUCUCUCUACCAUUUAUCAACCUCCCUCACAGGGACCCACAGACUAUGAUAGUAGACCCUCAGGCAUCGGAGGAAUAAGACACUUGGCCCCCACGGCUGUUCAGGGUCUCCUGAACUCAUUCCCCAAAGCUGGCUGCCAGUUCAGCCUAUCUCCAAGGUUGUCCCAGUAAUGGCUAUACCCUUGCUCUGCCAGGAAAACCAGGACCCGAAGCAGAAAAUCCUGAGAGAGGCAAUGCUUGGCUCACUUUAUAAAGCAGAACUUUAGGAGCUGAACCGUAACAGAGUAGGCUGCCUUGGGGUGAGCUCCUUGGUCCUGGGAGAAUACAAGGAAAGAUUGGUGGUCAGUCUUCUCCUGUGAAGGUUUUAGAGGCAGCUCCUGCAUGGAAAGAUACUGAUUCGAAGACCUUCCAGUUUUGAAAAUCUGUGAUCGUGAGACUCCCAGAUUCUGAUCUAAGACCACACAAUACUCAGAAUCUAGGGAUCUAAGAUUGUGUGCCUUUGCCCCCCUGCGUUUUCUGUCCCCACUUCAGGCUGUUGGACUGUGACUCAGGGAAGGGAUAUUCCAGUGAAAGCAGAGAAUAACAACUUUUUAGGUUUCAAAAGCCCCCCUUCCUCCCCAAAAGACCAUUCCUAAAGGGACUUGGGGCAUAGUGAGUACAUCAUGAGUCAGAGAAGGGCAGGCUUCCCUGCUUUCUCCAACCUUUGGGAUGGUGGCUGUUCCAUCCAUCUGGGUCCUGGAGCGAGGGGACAUGAAGCCGGCGGCCGGGGGCCUGAGUGCAAACAAAACCUGAGAAACUAGGUUUUGGGGGUGGUUGUUACUGCACUGUGACCUGGCUGACCCUGACCGAUGCACAUUCCUUCCCCUCCCCCUUCGCCUCCUCCCAAAUAAGAGAGCUGGGAAGGGAGCCAGAGAAAAAGCUACGAGUGAACAUUUUUUUUAAUUUCGUGGGUCAACAUGACCCCAGACGGUUCUGAGGAAUCCAAAAGUAGAGCGAGGAAGGUAUCAAAAGAUGAAACGAUCACGUGGCCUGUGUAAGCCAAGGGGGCCUGAGACACCCUCACACUGAGACACAACCACAGGGAAAAUGCACACACACACGUGUGUGUGUGAGAGAGAGAAGAGCUGGGGAAGAAAACAAACUGAUCAAGAUUGAUUUUCUGCCCACUUGUGAAGUGGGAUGUCCUAACAAACAUUCAGGAUAGAUUAAUUUCCUGCUCAUCUGAAUUAACUGAGAUUUGUACCUGCUACCCAUACUCCUAAAAUUUCAUAAUCCCCAGAGUCUUGGAUUCUGGGCUUUUACCAUGACUCCUUCCCCAGGUGGGAGGUUGUAGGUACAUGGACAUGACAGCAGCCAGGUCUGGAAACCAGAAGACCUGAGAUCUGCUCUCAAACGUCACCUUCCCAGGGAUGCCUCCUCCGGCUCGAAAACGGAACUCUGCCACCUGGGCAUUCCCCAUGCUUCUUCCUUUUUCGCCAAAGCACUAGCAUCAACUGACACACUGUAUAUUUUACUUAUUCGUUUAUUGUCUAUUUCCUCCACUUGACUGUAAGUUUCAAAAGGGCAGAGAUUCCUUCCUUCCUUCCGUUCUUUUUUCUAUCUCCUUUCUUUUUUUCUUUCUCUCCUCCUUCCUAUGUAUCUAUAAAAUACUUCAAACCUACAGAAAAGCAUAGAAAACAUAUAAUGAACACUCAUUUGCUAUUUGCCCAUCCCCUAGGUUUAACAACUGUUAAAAUUUUACUCUACUUGCCUCAUUUUUGUUUUGGUACCAGCGUUUCCUAAGUAAACACUAUUCAUCAUGAUACUUCCUUUUUAAAAGCUUGAAACCAGAGGGUUUUGUCUCUUGUAUUCAUUGCUUUAUGAUUUACUGCCUGGAAGUUGGUAGGCCUUCAGUAAAUAGCUGUUGAAUCCUCA